GAACAAAUGUCCCUUUCACCCCAGACGGGCCAAUGAUGAAAGACCAAAGCAAUGAUGCCACAAAAAUCCAACUUGAGCUUCCUUACAGAGCCUGGGUGAGAGGUAACUGACAGUCAGCAAAGUUGCUGCCUCACGGCAAAGUCCCAUCCUAGCAUCACUGAAACCUCAUGGAAGCUGCAACAUGGAGUCCCCCUUUCAGUCCACAUUCCAUGUCCUGCGUACCUGCCAUCUCCCAAAACCACUUGCAGCUGUGAGAGGGCGGGAGGAAGUAAUGCUGGACUCCCAGAAACAUAAAACCAGACCAUGCUGGAUGUUGGUAUCCCUGCAGGGUGAUGGCUUGUUCCAGCAGGUGAAGAGCAUUUAGGAAGAGGGAUUUGGGGAAACAGUUGGUGCAUUCUAUUCAAAGUAACAAUGCUCAUGUCCAAUGAGUCAGAGCACUUCAUGUCCAACAAGUGGAGCACUUCUCAGGAUUGGCUCAGGAGGGAAGAAACGCACUGUUGUGAGGGGAAGACUUUGAACUGCGUGCUCUUUGCAAUGACUGGGAGUGGCGGGACAUGGUGCAGCCUUACAUGCAAAGCAGCCGCCGCAAAAUGGACACAUGUAUAUAGCUGACUGACACGAAAUGACAUCAAUAAAUGCACUAAUUAAAAUCAA